rnacentral:snRNA from 1 species
GUGCUCGCUUUGGCAGCACAUAUACUGAAA